rnacentral:rRNA from 1 species
UACGGAGGAUUCGAGCGUUAUCCGGAUUUACUGGGUGUAAAGGGAGCGUAGGCGGUUUAGCAAGUCAGAAGUGAAAGCCCGGGGCUCAACUCCGGGACUGCUUUUGAAACUGUUGAACUAGAUUGCAGGAGAGGUAAGUGGAAUUCCUAGUGUAGCGGUGAAAUGCGUAGAUAUAAGGAAGAACACCAGUGGCGAAGGCGGAUUACUGGACGAUAACUGACGGUGAGGCGCGAAAGCGUGGGGAGCAAACAGG